CACUAACACACUCACUAACAGACACAAACACUCACUAACAGACACACAUUAACACACUCACAAACAGACAAACUAACACACUCACAGACACACACUAACACACUCAUUAACAGACACAUUGGCACUCUCACUAGCAGACACACACUUACAGUCACACUCACUAACAGACCCACACACAUACUCUCACUAACAAACACACACUAACAUUUUUUUUUAAAUUU